rnacentral:rRNA from 1 species
GAUGAACGCUGGCGGCGUGCCUAAUACAUGCAAGUCGAGCGAAUGGAUCAAGAGCUUGCUCUUAUGAAGUUAGCGGCGGACGGGUGAGUAACACGUGGGUAACCUGCCCAUAAGACUGGGAUAACUCCGGGAAACCGGGGCUAAUACCGGCUAACAUUUUGAACCGCAUGGUUCGAAAUUGAAAGGCGGCUUCGGCUGUCACUGAUGGAUGGACCCGCGUCGCAUUAGCUAGUUGGUGAGGUAACGGCUCACCAAGGCAACGAUGCGUAGCCGACCUGAGAGGGUGAUCGGCCACACUGGGACUGAGACACGGCCCAGACUCCUACGGGAGGCAGCAGUAGGGAAUCUUCCGCAAUGGACGAGAGUCUGACGGAGCAACGCCGCGUGAGUGAUGAAGGCUUUCGGGUCGUAAAACUCUGUUGUUAGGGAAGAACAAGUGCUAGUUGAAUAAGCUGGCACCCUGACGGUACCUAACCAGAAAGCCACGGCUAACUACGUGCCAGCCGCCGCCGUAA